UAUUUUAAAGAGAGUUUGAUCCUGGCUCAGGACGAACGCUGGCGGCGUGCCUAAUACAUGCAAGUCGAACGAACGGAGGAAGAGCUUGCUCUUCCAAAGUUAGUGGCGGACGGGGGAGUAACACGUGGGCAACCUGCCUGUAAGUUGGGGAUAACUCCGGGAAACCGGGGCUAAUACCGAAUGAUAGA
rnacentral:rRNA from 1 species